rnacentral:rRNA from 1 species
UAGGGAAUCUUCCACAAUGGACGCAAGUCUGAUGGAGCAACGCCGCGUGAGUGAAGAAGGUUUUCGGAUCGUAAAGCUCUGUUGUUGGUGAAGAAGGAUAGAGGCAGUAACUGGUCUUUAUUUGACGGUAAUCAACCAGAAAGUCACGGCUAACUACGUGCCAGCAGCCGCGGUAAUACGUAGGUGGCAAGCGUUGUCCGGAUUGAUUGGGCGUAAAGCGAGCGCAGGCGGAAUGAUAAGUCUGAUGUGAAAGCCCACGGCUCAACCGUGGAACUGCAUCGGAAACUGUCAUUCUUGAGUGCAGAAGAGGAGAGUGGAAUUCCAUGUGUAGCGGUGGAAUGCGUAGAUAUAUGGAAGAACACCAGUGGCGAAGGCGGCUCUCUGGUCUGCAACUGACGCUGAGGCUCGAAAGCAUGGGUAGCGAACAGG